UACGUAGGGGGCAAGCGUUGUCCGGAUUUAUUGGGCGUAAAGAGCGUGUAGGCGGCCUGGAAGGUCAGCUGUGAAAACUCGAGGCUCAACCUCGAGACGUCGGUUGAAACCACCUGGCUAGAGUCCGGAAGAGGAGAGUGGAAUUCCCGGUGUAGCGGUGAAAUGCGCAGAUAUCGGGAAGAACACCCGUGGCGAAGGCAGUUCUCUGGGACGGUACUGACGCUGAGACGCGAAAGCGUGGGGAGCGAACAGG
rnacentral:rRNA from 1 species